GGCGUCAGAUUGGGUAGGAACCCUAGCCCAUUCUCCCCGUCGUGCCCCUCUCCCCUUCUCUACCGCCGCCGCCGCCGCCAGCGCAGGCCGCGGACACGACGAGGAGGCGGCCGGCAUCACCGCGCGCCGCCCGGCCAAGGUCUUCUCCCGCAUGCGCCACCUCCUCGCCAAACCUUUCCCCUACGCGCGGCCCUCGCCGACUCGCUCUUCCUCCCCUACGACCUCGUCCAGGACGCCCGCGGCGCCGCCGCCGUCCGCGCCGACGGCGGCUAGGUCAGGGAUGUUAGGGUGUGGCUUAGCAGCGCGACAGCAUCGUGGGUGGCGUGCGGAUGGGCACGGAGCCACGGACGCCGCCGUCCCCAACGACGCCCCGUCCCGGCGCUCCUCGAUUCCUGCUUGGACGGCGACAAGUUCGAGCCGCGUCCGUCGACCCCGACAUCGCGAUCCCAUCUGUCACGCCGUCUCCUUGCUCCUUGCAGGGAUUUGGCGCUGUACACGCUCGUCAUGGGCGCCUGCGGCGUCGACGGCAAGGAGCUCCACCUCGUGCACCACAGCCAGCGCCACAUCAAGACCGCCAUCAUCCCCGCCUCCUCCGCGGCCUCCUCUCCAUCGCUGCUGAGGAAAGCGGCGCGCCCCGUUGGGAAGCGGGUGGCCCGCGUCGUCGCCCCCCAAGACGUGGCAGAGGCGGCGACGGCUGCGGAGGGCGCGAAGAAGGCGGCAACGGGGAAGACGGACUCGAGCUGCUCGGCCCUCUCUCCCUCGGCUCAUGGCGGUGCCGGAUCCGGUGUCGGGGUCGAGGGGCGCGCAGGAUCCGAGCACGGCGGCUCGUUGGUGAGCGCAGCAUCUCGAGCUCGGGCGUGUGGGCGCGUUGGUGAGCACGCUAGCGGUUGUGGCUGAGCUCGAGCCCGGGCGUGUGGGCGCAUUGUGGAAACCAGGCUCUCCUAGGCGUGUUCCUCCUCCCCAGCGGCGGUUGUGGCGAAGCCGACACCAAAGGUCACCCAGCGGCAAAGCCACAGCCACACCUGCGCUCACUCAGCUCCGGCCACUGUAGUUGGUGGACACGGGUUGUUCCUACCUUUGAUGUUUUGGCCGGAUCUGUGCUUCGGUUCUCUAGGUGUACCCCUCUCUAUUUCCUGUUCAUCUAUUGUUCCAUAUGAUCUGCACAUGUCCCAUGGACGUCACUCUGUCUUGUUCAUAGCAUAGUUGCUUUUGUUUUAUUCCUGUCGUGGAGAUGGGCACACCUUGACAUGUCCUUGUUGUAUCUGCAAAGGAAUUUUUGUUGCCUUC